GUUUCGCAACGCUCGAAUCAACACCAAUCCGAGGAUUGAGGAAGAAAUGACUCUCAAACAGGUAUGCCUUCUGGAAUACCAAAAGGCGCAAUGUGCGUUCAAAGAUUCGAUGAUUCACAAAAUUCUGCAAUUCACAUUACUUAUCGCAGUUCGCUGCGUU
rnacentral:rRNA from 1 species